rnacentral:rRNA from 1 species
UACGUAGGGAGCAAGCGUUGUCCGGAAUCAUUGGGCGUAAAGCGCGCGUAGGUGGUCCCGUAAGUCCGCUGUGAAAGUCAAAGGCUCAACCUUUGAAAGCCGGUGGAUACUGUCGGGCUAGAGUCCGGAAGAGGCGACUGGAAUUCCUGGUGUAGCGGUGAAAUGCGCAGAUAUCAGGAGGAACACCGGUGGCGAAGGCGGGUCUCUGGGCCGAUACUGACGCUGAGGAGCGAAAGCGUGGGGAGCGAACAGG